AUGCAAGUCAUUCCUUCAUCAAUAAGUAAUAGAAGCCUACUUGUCUCUAGAGAUACUGGUUCAGGGAAAAUAGCUUAUUUUCUAGUUGCUAUAAUUGCACGUUGUUCACAGAGAGAGCAAUGUACAAGCAAGCGUGGGCCCUUGGCUAUAGUCCUUGCUCCAACUAGAGAGCUGCGCCUACAGGUGGAGGAUCAAUCAAAUGUGCUUGGAAAGGGUUUACCAUUUAAAACUGCUCUAGUUGUUGGUGGAGACCCCUUGGCUCACCAAAUAUAUAGAAUUGAAAAUGGUGUCGAGCUAAUUGUUGGCACCCCUGGGAGACUAAUUGAUCUUCUGAUGAAACACAAUGUUGACCUUAAAGAUGUUUCUAUGUUUGUUUUGGAUCAAGUGGACUGCUUGCUACAGAGAGGAUUCAGAGAUCAGGCCAUGCAGAUCUUUCGCACGCUCUCAUGUCCACAGGUUAUGAUGUUUUCAGCAACAGUACAUCCAGAAAUUGAGGAAUUGUCAAACUCACUGUCUAACAACAUGAUACACAUUUCUUGCGGGAACCCAGGUAAACCAAACAAAUCAGUUAGACAAGUGGUAAUUUGGGUGGAGCCUAACCAGAAGAAGAAGAUUUUUGAGAUAAUGACAAGUAAGAAGCACUUUAAACCUCCUGUUGUUGUAUUUGUGAGUUCCAGAGUUGGUGCCGAUCUCUUGUCUAAAGCAAUUACUGCUGCUACUAGCUUGGAGGUUGUUUCUAUUCAUGGUGAGCAAACAAUGAAAGAGAGGAGAGAAGGAUUGAGACGGUUUCUCACAGGGGAAGUAUAUGUUGUUGUUUGUACAGGGAUCUUGGGACGUGCAAUGGAUAUUCUGAAAGAUAUUCACCAAGUUGGAAGAGCGUCUCAGAUGGGUGAGGAGGGUGUGGCUAUUGUCUUUGUGAAUGAGGAGGAUCGGAAACUUUUUAGAGAGCUUGUUCAGGUUCUGAAGACUGCAGGAGCUCCAAUUCCCCGGGAACUCUCUAAUUCAAAAUUCACCGGCAGUAUUUCUCUUGGGAAGAGAAAACUGGGUUCUCUGGCACCUUCUUGA
rnacentral:rRNA from 1 species